UGGGGAAUAUUGCACAAUGGGGGAAACCCUGAUGCAGCGACGCCGCGUGAACGAAGAAGGUAUUCGUAUCGUAAAGUUCUGUCCUAUGGGAAGAUAAUGACAGUACCAUAGAAGAAAGCUCCGGCUAAAUACGUGCCAGCAGCCGCGGUAAUACGUAUGGAGCGAGCGUUGUCCGGAAUUAUUGGGCGUAAAGGGUACGCAGGCGGUUUAAUAAGUCGAAUGUUAAAGAUCGGGGCUCAACCCCGCAAAGCAUUGGAAACUGAUAAACUUGAGUAGUGGAGAGGAAAGUGGAAUUCCUAGUGUAGUGGUGAAAUACGUAGAUAUUAGGAGGAAUACCAGUAGCGAAGGCGACUUUCUGGACACAAACUGACGCUGAGGUACGCAAGCGUGGGGAGCAAACAGG
rnacentral:rRNA from 1 species